rnacentral:rRNA from 1 species
AUUGAACGCUGGCGGCAGGCUUAACACAUGCAAGUCGAGCGGUAACAGAGAGAAGCUUGCUUCUCUGCUGACGAGCGGCGGACGGGUGAGUAAUGCCUAGGAAUCUGCCCAGUAGUGGGGGAUAACUUGCCGAAAGGUAAGCUAAUACCGCAUACGUCCUACGGGAGAAAGGAGGGGACCUUCGGGCCUUUCGCUAUUAGAUGAGCCUAGGUCGGAUUAGUUAGUUGGUGAGGUAAUGGCUCACCAAGACCGCGAUCCGUAACUGGUCUGAGAGGAUGAUCAGUAACACUGGAACUGAGACACGGUCCAGACUCCUACGGGAGGCAGCAGUGGGGAAUAUUGGACAAUGGGGGGAACCCUGAUCCAGCCAUGCCGCGUGUGUGAAGAAGGUCUUAGGAUUGUAAAGCACUUUAAGUUGGGAGGAAGAGCAGUUAACUAAUAUUUGACUGUUUUGACGUUACCGACAGAAUAAGCACCGGCUAACUUCGUGCCAGCAGCCGCGGUAA